UCCUCUCAUAAUAAAGGGUUGGAAUUCAUAUGUAGCCUGUAGAAUGUUUCUGCAAAGCCUUUGUGAGGAUGCAUGUUCUAUAACUGAACUCCAGCCAUGGUUCUCAUUCUCCCUAUAUACACAAGCCAGUCACUAGAUGAGAGCCACGGUGCUCAUUCUCCCUAUACACACAAGCCAGUCACUAGAUGAGAGCCACGGUUCUCAUUCUCCCUAUACACACAAGCCAGUCACUAGAUGAGAGCCACGGUGCUCAUUCUCCCUAUACACACAAGCCAGUCACUAGACGAGAGCCACGGUGCUCAUUCUCCCUAUACACACAAGCCAGUCACUAGACGAGAGCCAAGGUUCUCAUUCUCCCUAUACACACAAGCCAGUCACUAGACGAGAGCCACGGUUCUCAUUCUCCCUAUACACACAAGCCAGUCACUAGAUGAGAGCCAAGGUGCUCAUUCUCCCUAUACACACAAGCCAGUCACUAGACGAGAGCCACGGUUCUCAUUCUCCCUAUACACACAAGCCAGUCACUAGACGAGAGCCACGGUUCUCAUUCUCCCUAUACACACAAGCCAGUCACUAGACGAGAGCCACGGUUCUCAUUCUCCCUAUACACACAAGCCAGUCACUAGACGAGAGCCACGGUUCUCAUUCUCCCUAUACACACAAGCCAGUCACUAGACGAGAGCCACG